rnacentral:tRNA from 1 species
GGUGGCUCAGUGGUAGAGUGCUUGCCUUGCAUGCAUGAGGCCCUGGACUCGAUUCCCCAGCACCA